UUUUCUACCUCAAAGACUCAAGUAGUAGCUACUAGCUAUGCAGUAACUUCUUUUCACUCAAUAAGCUGCCAUGAUCUCCUCCACUCCACCUUUUCUUUUCUUCUCCUUCUCCUUCUCCAAUUUGAUGUGCAUGCAUGUGAUGGUAAUGUUGCAUUUGCAUCAAUAAUUUCAUACUAAUUUUAUCACCAAUGUCAUAUUUUAGAAAUUUGAAAAUAGAGUGCUUGAGUUAUCCUUGAUUUUGCAUAGUUGAAGACGGUGAAGGUAAUUUAUUCACCAUUAAUCAAAAUUUUACUUUUGUUUUCAUUCUAUUUUUUUCUAAUCGAUCCAUUAUUAUUUACUUAAAACUAUUAUUUAUUGAAAAGGUUGGCAAGGAAAAAUAAAUAGUGCAAUCAGAUAAACUCUCAUAUGGAUCAGUCAAGUUCAGGUACUUACGUUCUCUUCAACCAUAAUUAAAAUCCUUAUGAAAUUAUUUUUUUUCUUGUUAAUUCAUUCUAUCUUAGCAAAAUUAAAAAAAGAUUGGAAAUCUGUCAAGAUUACCGUGUGACCACCCCAACCAGACUGGGCUGGCUGAGAACGAUCAUCUACAGUCAACUUAUGAUGAUUCCCGUAGGUCUCACCAUAGAACCGUUAAUCACGCUCUGAUCACACGGUCACAAAUCCUCAUCCAGAUUUAUGUUCCUGUCUCCUUAGAAAUCAAGGACACAGUAGUACGAUCCUAUAGAACAGAUCCUGUUCAAGUAAGGUCGUGACCGUUGCUCUCCGCGUAGAGUAUAUAAACAUUUAGUAUAAGCCUAAACCAAACGAUGUGGGACUUUAUUUCAUGUUUGUAGUAUUAGUUUCAAAAAUGAGGUUUCUGUCUUUUGUUGUUACUAUCUCUGCUCAUCAAUUUGGCGUGACGUUUGAUGAAUUUUUCUAUACUCAUUGUUGCUAUACUAUAUCUGUUUUUGAAAAUUGUAGAAUAUAUUAGAACUGACUCCAAAGUGUGUGGUAAAAUGAUGCAAUUAGUGUAAGCUUCUUUAAACUUGAAAAACUGAAGUGUAAAACAACAUGAAGAAUUUGAUAUGUAUGUGAAAGUAACAAGCAGGGAUAAGAUUUGUUAGCAGUUUGUAUGUUAUUCUUCAAUUUGUAGAUCUAUGUAAAACCACUAUUGAUCAUUUGAUAGCAGAUAGUCCCUUUCUCUGUUGUGAAAAUUUCAAUAUUGUUCUUCUUGCUUGAGCCUCUAACAAUAGGUUUUAUCUCAUGUCAAAGCUUAUUUGUUAAAUAUAGUAUGAGAGUUGAGAAGUAGUUUUCAUCAUUUAGGAACCAAAGUGCUAAGGGAUCCGAUGAAAUAAAAAAAUCUGCAAACAUUAUUGUAAUCUAUUUUAUUGAUAUUAUUGUACUAUAGGACAUAAAUCAAGUAAACAAAUAUACAUAGGAAGAACAAUGCAAAUCCUGCUUCAGAAACACAAAAAACUUAUGAAGUAGAAACAUGAAAUAAAAAAGAGAGCAAGAAAGGGUGAAAAGAAAGGUUUCUAAUAACCGUGUCAAUUAAUGUGAUUAUGAGAGAUUAUCGUGCUCAAUAACUUGUGCUCCUCUAAAUUCUUCACCUGGAUUCACAGUCACAGGCUCCAAUAUUGAAGCAGGACCAGUGCAUACAAAAUAGUCCCUCCCAUAUUUGUCCGACAUGGAACCAGGGCUUGACACAUAAAUAUCCUCAAAUCCCAUUCUUAUCACCCUGUAGAAAAUCUCACGUCCCUGAAAGAAAGAAAAAAACCAUUCUAUAAAAAGGCUUCACUAAAUAUGGUACAUGAAAAAUUCCAAAUGUUUUGUUCGUCACAUGUCCACAAUGUAAGUCAUUCUAGAAUUUAAUUGGUAUGCAUUGUCUGUGUAAGGAUCAUUUUCAAUAAUGUGACAGCUUAUGAUUGAUUGAUUGUGUAAAAAAUAUUGUAUCAAAAUGAAACUCGUCGUUCUAACCUGAUCAAUGAUUUCAUAUUUUGAAGGUGGUGUGUUAUAAAAAGCCUUUGUUCUUUCUUUAGGAGGUGCAGCAAAAACUCUACUCAUCUUAUUCUCGAGGAGAGUAAUAGGAACACCUUGUUGAGUCCAUGAACCUGGCUUCAUUUCAGGCUCAGCGCCAAAUGAAAUCAACCUUUGAGACUCGGAUUUCAUUGCUUCUGAUGGAGUCAAGAUUUGAAAAGGGGAAUCAAGAGGAGGGUGUGAGCAGUAUGAGCAGGUUUGAAGACCUUUAAUUGCCGCACCACCUCUUCUCUUAAAUCUAAAAUGGCUUAGUAUAGCAUUGGUUAGAGUGACAGGUUUUGGAGAUUUGUUCUUAACUAUAACUGCUGUUGCCAUGCUCACAGGAUAGAGGGACACAAUAUAAGUCAUGUCAAAAAAUCUAUUAGUGCUGAUCAAUUCAACCUGCAGAAAAUCGAAUGGAAGCAUCAAAUACAACAGCCAACUUUCAGUAUUUCACUUUCGCACUGCUAGCAAAAAAGAAGAAAAAAUACUAAUUCAAUGAUUGUGCUAAAUGGUAUGUUGAAACUGAUGAUUCGGAAAUAUGAUUUGUUUGGUUGAGCUGUGACGAAAUAUGUCCAAAGCACUCUCAUGUCCAGCUUGAAGUGACAAUUUCUAGCUUUUGUAUUUUCACGUUGGAGAGUGCUUUGGACAUGUUUGUGAACACUCAAUAAAUUUGAGAACAGAAGCUAAUUAUACGUUAAUGCAGAAGCGAAGAACCUUUGCUAUAAUUGAUUCUGAGCUUAAAAGCCAAACAUAAUAAAUUCCUAUUCUAAUCACAUUUGAAGCAAAAGAGUAUCUAAUUAUCAAUCAAAUUGUACCUGUAGAGCAUCAAUGGCAUCAUAGUCAACAUCCUUUACAGUCCAUUCUAAAGUUGAAGGAAGCAACUCUUUUGCACCAGGUUGUAAUACUUCAUUCAAGACCAAACCAAUUCCACCUUUGGCUUUGUAAAGACCAGUUUCAUUGGCAGGAAUUGUGUAAAGAAGUUCCUCAAGUCCAUCAUCUUUCCAAAACACUUUUGGUUUGUAAGAUGUUACAUGAGCAUCAGGUAAUCUUAAGCUCAAUGAGCUUCCAUUUCUAACUGUUAGCUCAACAAUGGGAAUGCUAUUAGACUCCAAGAAUUUGAUGCCUUUUCUUCCAAAUUUAUCAUUGAGUGCCUCAGGAGUUGAAAGAGGUGUUGUAGUUGUAGCAGCUGAAGAGGCUUUUAUUAAGUUUAGUUUGGGAAGAGAUAGGGAAAGAAAAGAAGCCAUAGAGAACAAGUAAUAAGGUACUUUUUAAGAGGUUCCACACAAACAAAUUAUGAGCAUGCU
rnacentral:lncRNA from 1 species